rnacentral:rRNA from 1 species
CCUACGGGAGACUGCAGUGGGGAAUAUUGCACAAUGGGGGAAACCCUGAUGCAGCGACGCCGCGUGAAGGAAGAAGGAUUUCGGGAUGGAAACUUCUAUCAGCAGGGAAGAAAAUGACGGUACCUGACUAAGAAGCCCCGGCUAACUACGUGCCAGCAGCCGCGGUAAUACGUAGGGGGCAAGCGUUAUCCGGAUUGACUGGGUGUAAAGGGAGCGUAGGCGGUUUAGCAAGUCAGAAGUGAAAGCCCGGGGCUCAACUCCGGGACUGCUUUUGAAACUGUUGAACUAGAUUGCAGGAGAGGUAAGUGGAAUUCCUAGUGUAGCGGUGAAAUGCGUAGAUAUUAGGCGGAACUCCAGUUGCGAAGGCGGCUUACUGGACUGUA